rnacentral:lncRNA from 1 species
UUAAAGAGACCACAUGAAAGAAAAGUGAAGCAAGGUCCCCUGACUAGAUGUCAGUGGUGAUGUCAGCUGACCAGGCCAGCAAGGCUGGGGUACACAGCUCCCUGUAAUCCCAGCAUUCAGGAGGUAGAGGCCAGAUGAGCACAAGUUCCAAGCUAGCCUUGGCUACAUGGAGGACUCUUUCAUGCUGGAAACUAAGCAGCGGUGAACUUCUGCUCUUCUUGUUCUACACAGCCUUGUCGGAUGAGUUCACCGAAGCCCUUCCGUUUAUCUACCUCACCACCUACACCUUGCAACCAAUAGCACUGGAGUCUG